rnacentral:rRNA from 1 species
UAGAGUUUGAUCCUGGCUCAGAUUGAACGCUGGCGGCAUGCCUUACACAUGCAAGUCGAACGGCAGCACGGGAGCAAUCCUGGUGGCGAGUGGCGAACGGGUGAGUAAUAUAUCGGAACGUGCCCAGUCGUGGGGGAUAACGCAGCGAAAGCUGUGCUAAUACCGCAUACGAUCUCUGGAUGAAAGCGGGGGACUCGCAAGAGCCUCGCGCGAUUGGAGCGGCCGAUAUCAGAUUAGCUAGUUGGUGGGGUAAAAGCUCACCAAGGCGAUGAUCUGUAGCUGGUCUGAGAGGACGACCAGCCACACUGGAACUGAGACACGGUCCAGACUCCUACGGGAGGCAGCAGUGGGGAAUUUUGGACAAUGGGCGCAAGCCUGAUCCAGCAAUGCCGCGUGCAGGAUGAAGGCCUUCGGGUUGUAAACUGCUUUUGUACGGAACGAAACGGCUCUUUCUAAUAAAGAGAGCUAAUGACGGUACCGUAAGAAUAAGCACCGGCUAACUACGUGCCAGCAGCCGCGGUAAUACGUAGGGUGCGAGCGUUAAUCGGAAUUACUGGGCGUAAAGCGUGCGCAGGCGGUGAUGUAAGACAGAUGUGAAAUCCCCGGGCUCAACCUGGGACCUGCAUUUGUGACUGCAUCGCUAGAGUACGGUAGAGGGGGAUGGAAUUCCGCGUGUAGCAGUGAAAUGCGUAGAUAUGCGGAGGAACACCGAUGGCGAAAGCAAUCCCCUGGACCUGUACUGACGCUCAUGCACGAAAGCGUGGGGAGCAAACAGGAUUAGAUACCCUGGUAGUCCACGCCCUAAACGAUGUCAACUGGUUGUUGGGUCUUUACUGACUCAGUAACGAAGCUAACGCGUGAAGUUGAC